rnacentral:rRNA from 1 species
AGUGGCGGACGGGUGAGUAACACGUAAGAAUUUGCCUUUAGGAGGGGGAUAACAACUGGAAACGGUUGCUAAUACCCCAUAUGCUUUCGAGUGAAAUGGAUUUCCGCCUAAAGAGAAGCUUGCGGCUGAUUAGCUUGUUGGUGAGGUAAUGGCUCACCAAGGCGACGAUCAGUAUCUGGUUUGAGAGGAUGAUCAGACACACUGGAACUGAGACACGGUCCAGACUCCUACGGGAGGCAGCAGUGGGGAAUUUUCCGCAAUGGGCGAAAGCCUGACGGAGCAAUCUCGCGUGAGGGAUGACGGCCUAUGGGUUGUAAACCUCUUUUUUCAGGGAGGAACAAAAUGACGUGUACCUGAAGAAUAAGCAUCGGCUAACUCCGUGCCAGCAGCCGCGGUAAGACGGAGGAUGCAAGUGUUAUCCGGAAUCACUGGGCGUAAAGCGUCUGUAGGUGGUUUAAUAAGUCAACUGUUAAAUCUUGAAGCUCAACUUCAAAAUCGCAGUCGAAACUAUUAGACUAGAGUAUAGUAGGGGUAAAGGGAAUUUCCAGUGGAGCGGUGAAAUGCGUAGAUAUUGGAAAGAACACCGAUGGCGAAGGCACUUUACUGGGCUAUUACUGACACUCAGAGACGAAAGCUAGGGUAGCAAAUGGGAUUAGAUACCCCAGUAGUCCUAGCCGUAAACAAUGGAUACUAGAUGUUG